GUGACAUCACGGUGAAACACUGGUUCCCAUACAAUCUAGUUAAGCAACGUUGAGCCUUGUCAGUACCUAGAUGGGUGACCUCUUUGGAAUACUAGGUGCUGUA